rnacentral:rRNA from 1 species
GUGUCAGCAGCCGCGGUAAUACAGAGGUCUCGAGCGUUAGGCGGAAUCACUGGGCUUAAAGCGUGUGUAGGCGGAUCGUUAAGUACCUUGUGAAAUCCCACGGCUCACCCGUGGAACUGCUGGGUAUACUGGCGAUCUUGGGCCAUUUAGGGGCAACUGGAACAAGCGGUGGAGCGGUGAAAUGCGUAGAUAUCGCUUGGAACGCCAAAGGUGAAAACAGGUUGCUGGGAAUGUGCCGACGCUGAGACACGAAAGCCAGGGGAGCAAACGGGAUUAGAAACCCCGGUAGUCC